rnacentral:rRNA from 1 species
AUCAACUUUCGAUGGUAGGAUAGAGGCCUACCAUGGUGGUAACGGGUAACGGGGUGUUAGGGCACGACACCGGAGAGGGGAACUGAGAAACGGCUACCACAUCCAAGGAUGGCAGCAGGCGCGCAAAUUACCCAAUCCCGACACGGGGAGGUAGUGACAAUAAAUAACAAUACGGGGUUCUUUCGGAUCUCGUAAUUGGAAUGAGUACAAUUUAAAUCUCUUAACGAGGAACAAUUGGAGGGCAAGUCUGGUGCCAGCAGCCGCGGUAAUUCCAGCUCCAAUAGCGUAUAUUAAAGUUGCUGCAGUUAAAAAGCUCGUAGUUGAAUUUCGGGGUUAGUAGGUUGGUCAUGCCUCUGGUAUGUACUGGUCUCACUGAUUCCUCCUUCCUGAUGAACCGUAAUGCCAUUAAUUUGGUGUUGCGGGGGAUUUGGACUGUUACUUUGAAAAAAUUAGAGUGUUUAAAGCAGGCUAACGCUUGAAUACAUUAGCAUGGAAUAAUGAAAUAGGACGUUCGAUCCUAUUUUGUUGGUUUCUAGGAUUGACGUAAUGAUUAAUAGGGAUAGUUGGGGGCAUUAGUAUUCAAUUGUCAGAGGUGAAAUUCUUGGAUUUA